rnacentral:rRNA from 1 species
CCAGCAGCUGCGGUAAUUCCAGCUCCAAUAGCGUAUACUAAAGUUGCUGCAGUUAAAAAGCUCGUAGUCGAAUUGGAUCAUAGAGAGUAAGGCUGCGCGCGCUCCCUCUGCUUGAGCGGACGCGCGCGCUCUUUCUAUGGUCAACCUUUCUGGGAGGGUUUCUGAGGAGGACGACUCUGUAUUCGGACCCCUCUUGGAUGUAUUUUACUGUGAACAAAAUAGAGUGUUCAUGGCAGGCCUUUUGAAUUAGGCUUAGAUACCAUAGCAUGGAAUAAUAGAAUAGGACUUCCGGUUCUGUUUUGUUGGUUUUUGGAGCCGAGGUAAUGAUUAACAGGGAUAGUUGGGGGCACCCGUACUCCGUUGUCAGAGGUGAAAUUCAUGGAUUAACGGAAGACGAACAACUGCGAAAGCAUCUGCCAAGGAUGUUUUCAUUGAUCAAGAACGAAAGU